rnacentral:rRNA from 1 species
AGUGAACGCUGGCGGUAGGCCUAACACAUGCAAGUCGAACGGCAGCACAGUAAGAGCUUGCUCUUACGGGUGGCGAGUGGCGGACGGGUGAGGAAUACAUCGGAAUCUACUUUUUCGUGGGGGAUAACGUAGGGAAACUUACGCUAAUACCGCAUACGAGCUACGGGUGAAAGCAGGGGAUCUUCGGACCUUGCGCGAUUGAAUGAGCCGAUGUCGGAUUAGCUAGUUGGCGGGGUAAAGGCCCACCAGGGCGACGAUCCGUAGCUGGUCUGAGAGGAUGAUCAGCCACACUGGAACUGAGACACGGUCCAGACUCCUACGGGAGGCAGCAGUGGGGAAUAUUGGACAAUGGGCGCAAGCCUGAUCCAGCCAUACCGCGUGGGUGAAGAAGGCCUUCGGGUUGUAAAGCCCUUUUGUUGGGAAAGAAAAGCAGCAGGUUAAUACCCCGCUGUUCUGACGGUACCCAAAGAAUAAGCACCGGCUAACUUCGUG